rnacentral:rRNA from 1 species
UACGUAGGGUGCAAGCGUUGUCCGGAAUUAUUGGGCGUAAAGAGCUCGUAGGCGGUCUGUCGCGUCUGCUGUGAAAACUCAGGGCUUAACCCUGAGCUUGCAGUGGGUACGGGCAGACUAGAGUUCGGUAGGGGAGAUCGGAAUUCCUGGUGUAGCGGUGAAAUGCGCAGAUAUCAGGAGGAACACCGGUGGCGAAGGCGGAUCUCUGGGCCGAUAUUGACGCUGAGGAGCGAAAGCGUGGGGAGCGAACAGG